rnacentral:lncRNA from 1 species
GUUUUUGAUAAAUAAAGGCAACACUAGUAUACCGCUGUUCGAAAUUCAUAAAUCGAUUGAGAAAAAACCAAAUCCGGGUUACAAACUAAAACUGAGGGAAACACAUCAAAUAUAAGAGGAGACAACAGAAACACAAGAUUAAUUGUAGCACACACAGAAACGAACAAUAACAUAACAAUGGCUAUUUUUCUGCCUUGGUACAGGACAUUACAUGCUAAUGACAGG